rnacentral:rRNA from 1 species
UACGUAGGGGGCAAGCGUUGUCCGGAAUCAUUGGGCGUAAAGAGCGUGUAGGCGGCCUGAUAAGUCGGUUGUGAAAGUCAAGGGCUCAACCCUUGAAUGCCGGCCGAUACUGUCAGGCUAGAGUCCGGAAGAGGCGAGUGGAAUUCCUGGUGUAGCGGUGGAAUGCGCAGAUAUCAGGAAGAACACCGGUGGCGAAGGCGGCUCUCUGGGCCUUACCUGACGCUGAGGAGCGAAAGCGUGGGUAGCGAACAGG